rnacentral:tRNA from 2 species
GCAGUCGUGGCCGAGUGGUUGAGGCGAAGUACUAGAAAUCCAUUGGGGUCUCCCCGCACAGGUUCGAAUUCUGUGGACUGCG